AUUGAACGCUGGCGGCAGGCCUAACACAUGCAAGUCGAGCGGAUGAAGGGAGCUUGCUCCUGGAUUCAGCGGCGGACGGGUGAGUAAUGCCUAGGAAUCUGCCUGGUAGUGGGGGAUAACGUCCGGAAACGGGCGCUAAUACCGCAUACGGCCUGAGGGAGAAAGUGGGGGAUCUUCGGACCUCACGCUAUCAGAUGAGCCUAGGUCGGAUUAGCUAGUUGGUGGGGUAAAGGCCUACCAAGGCGACGAUCCGUAACUGGUCUGAGAGGAUGAUCAGUCACACUGGAAGUGAGACACGGUCCAGACUCCUACGGGAGGCAGCAGUGGGGAAUAUUGGACGAUGGGCGAAAGCCUGAUCCAGCAAUGCCGCGUGUGUGAAGAAGGUCUUCGGAUUGUAAAGCACUUUAAGUUGGGAGGAAGGGAAGUAAGUUAAUACCUUGCUGUUUUGACGUUACCAACAGAAUAAGCACCGGCUAACUUCGUG
rnacentral:rRNA from 1 species